rnacentral:rRNA from 1 species
GACGAACGCUGGCGGCGUGCUUAACACAUGCAAGUCGAACGGAAAGGCCCUGCUUUUGUGGGGUGCUCGAGUGGCGAACGGGUGAGUAACACGUGAGUAACCUGCCCUUGACUUUGGGAUAACUUCAGGAAACUGGGGCUAAUACCGGAUAGGAGCUCCUGCUGCAUGGUGGGGGUUGGAAAGUUUCGGCGGUUGGGGAUGGACUCGCGGCUUAUCAGCUUGUUGGUGGGGUAGUGGCUGACCAAGGCUUUGACGGGUAGCCGGCCUGAGAGGGUGACCGGCCACAUUGGGACUGAGAUACGGCCCAGACUCCUACGGGAGGCAGCAGUGGGGAAUAUUGCACAAUGGGCGGAAGCCUGAUGCAGCAACGCCGCGUGCGGGAUGACGGCCUUCGGGUUGUAAACCGCUUUCGCCUGUGACGAAGCGUGAGUGACGGUAAUGGGUGAAGAAGCACCGGCUAACUACGUG